UGGGGAAUAUUGCACAAUGGGCGCAAGCCUGAUGCAGCCAUGCCGCGUGUAUGAAGAAGGCCUUCGGGUUGUAAAGUACUUUCAGCGGGGAGGAAGGGAGUAAAGUUAAUACCUUUGCUCAUUGACGUUACCCGCAGAAGAAGCACCGGCUAACUCCGUGCCAGCAGCCGCGGUAAUACGGAGGGUGCAAGCGUUAAUCGGAAUUACUGGGCGUAAAGCGCACGCAGGCGGUUUGUUAAGUCAGAUGUGAAAUCCCCGGGCUCAACCUGGGAACUGCAACUAAUACUGGCAAGCUUGAGUCUCGUAGAGGGGGGUAGAAUUCCAGGUGUAGCGGUGAAAUGCGUAGAGAUCUGGAGGAAUACCGGUUGCGAAGGCGGCCCCCUGGACGAAGACUGACGCUCAGGUGCGAAAGCGUGGGGAGCAAACAGG
rnacentral:rRNA from 1 species